rnacentral:rRNA from 1 species
UUAAUUGAAGAGUUUGAUCAUGGCUCAGAUUGAACGCUGGCGGCAGGCCUAACACAUGCAAGUCGAGCGGUAACAGGGGAAGCUUGCUUCUCGCUGACGAGCGGCGGACGGGUGAGUAAUGUAUGGGGAUCUGCCCGAUAGAGGGGGAUAACCACUGGAAACGGUGGC